rnacentral:rRNA from 1 species
AGAACGAACGCUGGCGGCAGGCUUAACACAUGCAAGUCGAACGCCCCGCGAGGGGAGUGGCAGACGGGUGAGUAACGCGUGGGAAUCUACCCAGAACUUCGGAACAACUGAGGGAAACUUCAGCUAAUACCGGAUACGCCCUACGGGGGAAAGAUUUAUCGGUUCUGGAUGAGCCCGCGUUGGAUUAGCUAGUUGGUGGGGUAAUGGCCCACCAAGGCGACGAUCCAUAGCUGGUCUGAGAGGAUGAUCAGCCACACUGGGACUGAGACACGGCCCAGACUCCUACGGGAGGCAGCAGUGGGGAAUAUUGGACAAUGGGCGAAAGCCUGAUCCAGCCAUGCCGCGUGAGUGAUGAAGGCCUUAGGGUUGUAAAGCUCUUUCAGUAGGGAAGAUAAUGACGGUACCUACAGAAGAAGCCCCGGCUAACUUCGUGCCAGCAGCCGC